rnacentral:rRNA from 1 species
AGAACGAACGCUGGCGGCAUGCCUAACACAUGCAAGUCGAACGUGAUCCAGGCUUCGGCCUGGUGAAAGUGGCAGACGGGUGAGUAACGCGUGGGAACCUGCCCUGUGGUAGGGAAUAACCGUGGGAAACUGCGGCUAAUACCCUAUGAGUCCUUCGGGAGAAAGAUUUAUCGCCAUAGGAGGGGCCCGCGUCGGAUUAGGUAGUUGGUGGGGUAACGGCCUACCAAGCCUUCGAUCCGUAGCUGGUCUGAGAGGAUGAUCAGCCACACUGGGACUGAGAUACGGCCCAGACUCCUACGGGAGGCAGCAGUGGGGAAUAUUGGACAAUGGGCGCAAGCCUGAUCCAGCCAUGCCGCGUGGAUGAUGAAGGCCUUAGGGUUGUAAAGUCCUUUUAACGGGGAAGAUAAUGACGGUACCCGUAGAAUAAGCCCGGCUAACUUCGCGCCAGCAGCCGC